UGAUUUCUGACGUCGGCUAUGAGAGCUUGAAAAGGCCUCAGGGUCCACGCGCACCAGGUGCUGAUAUUCGGUUGAAUAAUCGAAGAAAGAUACUCGGUGAUCGGACCAAUGUGGGGGCCAGCAGUAGUUAUGUACCUAUCGUGGAUGGUGUGAAACAGUGGACCCCUGGAUCAAACCGUCUAACCAAGAAAAAUCUCAAAAGACCCAAUCUAGGACCGGCUCUACCUCUACCCAGCUCGC